CAGCUCAAAAUGACACUUGGAACUGUCAAAAACAAGCAUUUUCCUGCGCCACGGGUUGAUAGCUAAUCGAAUCACGUGACAAACCCUGAAUCCAGAAAUUCGAAAGGAUUUCCUUUCGAGGGUUCAGGAAAACGAAAAAAAUCAGAAUAGAAAUCUCCUGUAUCUCACGACGUUGCUAAAAUAACAGUUGUGGUUUCGAAAUGUGUUUUUGUUGCGCUUUCAUUUGCUCGCUGUCGGUUUCAUCGUGGAAGUGGAAGUGGAAGCCUCUACUCGAAAAAGCGGAGUUUCUGGAAACAGUGCUGGAGGAACAGUUCUCCCCGGAGAAUCCUCCGGCGCAGUUAUAAACCACAAAAUCAACUGCCCGGCGAAUGGAUCUUCGACGUUCAACUCGCAGCCCAAUUUUUCACCGUCAAACAUAUGGUUGAGCUGGCGAAAUAUAUGAAUUCUUAUGAACGUGCCAAUGAGACCAGCACCGGCGUCGUUAUUUUAUGAAUAAAACUUUUUCUAAUAUUAUACUGCUUCUCAUAAAGAAUAAUAAAAGUUUAUUGAUUUUGAAAA